AGCGAACGUUGGCGGCGCGCCUAACACAUGCAAGUCGAACGCGAAAGGACCUCGGUCCGAGUAGAGUGGCGCACGGGUGAGUAACGCGUGAGUAAUCUGCCCUUUAGCCUGGGAUAACACGCCGAAAGGCGUGCUAAUACCGGAUGAGACCACGGAAUCUUCGGAGACUGUGAGAAAAGGCGGGGUCCGCAAGGACCUGUCACUAGAGGAUGAGCUCGCGGCCUANCAGCUAGUUGGCGGGGUAAUGGCCCACCAAGGCUAAGACGGGUAGCUGGUCUGAGAGGAUGGAUCAGCCACACUGGAACUGAGACACGGUCCAGACUUCUACGGAGGCAGCAGUGGGAAUUUUGCGCAAUGGGCGAAAGCCUGACGCAGCGACGCCGCG
rnacentral:rRNA from 1 species